rnacentral:rRNA from 1 species
AUUGAACGCUGGCGGCAUGCUUUACACAUGCAAGUCGAACGGUAACAGGCCGCAAGGUGCUGACGAGUGGCGAACGGGUGAGUAAUGCAUCGGAACGUGCCCAGUCGUGGUGGAUAACGCAGCGAAAGCUGCGCUAAUACCGCAUACGAUCUAUGGACGAAAGCGGGGGACCGUAAGGCCUCGCGCGAUUGGAGCGGCCGAUGUCAGAUUAGGUAGUUGGUGGGGUAAAGGCUCACCAAGCCAACGAUCUGUAGCUGGUCUGAGAGGACGACCAGCCACACUGGGACUGAGACACGGCCCAGACUCCUACGGGAGGCAGCAGUGGGGAAUUUUGGACAAUGGGCGCAAGCCUGAUCCAGCAAUGCCGCGUGCAGGAAGAAGGCCUUCGGGUUGUAAACUGCUUUUGUACGGAACGAAACGGUCCUGGUUAAUACCUGGGGCUAAUGACGGUGCCGUAAGAAUAAGCACCGGCUAACUACGUGCCAGCCGCCGCGGUAAAAC